ACAAGCAGCGGAGCAUGUGGUUUAAUUCGAAGCAACGCGAAGAACCUUACCUAGACUUGACAUCUCCUGAAUUACCGUAACUGGGGAAGCUCUCGGAGCAGGAAGACAGGUGGUGCAUGGUUGUCGUCAGCUCGUGUCGUGAGAUGUUGGGUUAAGUCCCGCAACGAGCGCAACCCUUAUCGUUAGUUGCUACCAUUAAGUUGAGCACUCUAGCGAGACUGCCCGGGUUAACCGGGAGGAAGGUGGGGAUGACGUCAAAUCAUCAUGCCCCUUAUGUCUAGGGCUACACACGUGCUACAAUGGUGAGGACAAAGAGACGCAAGACCGCGAGGUGGAGCAAAUCUCACAAACCUCAUCCCAGUUCGGAUUGCAGGCUGAAACUCGCCUGCAUGAAGCCGGAGUUGCUAGUAAUCGCGAAUCAGCAUGUCGCGGUGAAUACGUUCCCGGGCCUU
rnacentral:rRNA from 1 species